rnacentral:rRNA from 1 species
UUUCGCAAUGCCCGAAAGGGUGACGAAGCGACGCCGCGUGUGGGAAGAAGGCCUUCGGGUUGUAAACCACUGUCGGGAGUUAGGAAAUGUAAGGGUGCUAAUAGUAUCCUUACUUGACUAAGGCUCCGGAGGAAGCCACGGCUAACUCUGUGCCAGCAGCCGCGGUAAUACAGAGGCGGCAAGCGUUGUUCGGAAUUAUUGGGCGUAAAGAGCACGUAGGCGGCCUUGUAAGUCAGUUGUGAAAGCCUUCUGCUUAACGGAAGAACAGCAGCUGAUACUGCAAGGCUAGAGUGCGGUAGGGGAGAGUGGAACUUCUGGUGGAGCGGUGAAAUGCGUAGAUAUCAGAAGGAACACCGGCGGCGAAGGCGACUCUCUGGUCCGUAACUGACGCUGAGUGUGCGAAAGCUAGGGGAGCAAACGGGAUUAGAUACCCCGGUAGUCCUAGCCGUAAACGAUGGGCACUAAGUAGAGGGGUUUUA